GACGAACGCUGGCGGCGUGCUUAACACAUGCAAGUCGAACGGAAAGGCCCUGCUUUUGUGGGGUGCUCGAGUGGCGAACGGGUGAGUAACACGUGAGUAACCUGCCCUUGACUUUGGGAUAACUUCAGGAAACUGGGGCUAAUACCGGAUAGGAGCUCCUGCUGCAUGGUGGGGGUUGGAAAGUUUCGGCGGUUGGGGAUGGACUCGCGGCUUAUCAGCUUGUUGGUGGGGUAGUGGCUUACCAAGGCUUUGACGGGUAGCCGGCCUGAGAGGGUGACCGGCCACAUUGGGACUGAGAUACGGCCCAGACUCCUACGGGAGGCAGCAGUGGGGAAUAUUGCACAAGGGGCGGAAGCCUGAUGCAGCAACGCCGCGUGCGGGAUGACGGCCUUCGGGUUGUAAACCGCUUUCGCCUGUGACGAAGCGUGAGUGACGGUAAUGAGUAAAGAAGCACCGGCUAUCUACGUG
rnacentral:rRNA from 1 species